rnacentral:rRNA from 1 species
GGCUAGAGUUUGAUCAUGGCUCAGGAUGAACGCUGGCGGCGUGCUUAACACAUGCAAGUCGAACGAAGCGGCUGGACGGAAGUUUUCGGACGGAAGAGCAGCUGACUGAGUGGCGGACGGGUGAGUAACGCGUGGGUAACCUGCCGUAUACAGGGGGAUAACAGAGAGAAAUUUCUGCUAAUACCGCAUAAGCGCACGAAGACCGCAUGGUCCGGUGUGAAAAGCCGAGACGGUAUACGAUGGACCCGCGUCUGAUUAGGCAGUUGGUGGGGUAACGGCCUACCAAACCGACGAUCAGUAGCCGGCCUGAGAGGGUGGACGGCCACAUUGGGACUGAGACACGGCCCAAACUCCUACGGGAGGCAGCAGUGGGGAAUAUUGCACAAUGGGGGAAACCCUGAUGCAGCGACGCCGCGUGAGCGAAGAAGUAUUUCGGUAUGUAAAGCUCUAUCAGCAGGGAAGAAGAAAGACGGUACCUGACUAAGAAGCCCCGGCUAACUACGUGCCAGCAGCCGCGGUAAUACGUAGGGGGCAAGCGUUAUCCGGAUUUACUGGGUGUAAAGGGAGCGCAGACGGCAUGGCAAGUCUGAAGUGAAAGGCAUGGGCUCAACCCGUGGACUGCUUUGGAAACUGUCAGGCUAGAGUGUCGGAGAGGCAAGUG